CAUACACAGGAGGAGGCAGGUAGCUGGGUCCAGGGGCAGGCAGAAGGUCAUACACAGGAGGAGGCAGGUAGCUGGGUCCAGGGGCAGGUAGCUGGGUCCAGGGGCAGGCAGAAGGUCAUACACAGGAGGAGGCAGGUAGCUGGGUCCAGGGGCAGGCAGAAGGUCAUACACAGGAGGAGGCAGGUAGCUGGGUCCAGGGGCAGGUAGCUGGGUCCAGGGGCAGGCAGAAGGUCAUACACAGGAGGAGGCAGGUAGCUGGGUCCAGGGGCAGGCAGAAGGUCAUACACAGGAGGAGGCAGGUAGCUGGGUCCAGGGGCAGGCAGAAGGUCAUACACAGGAGGAGGCAGGUAGCUGGGUCCAGGGGCAGGCAGAAGGUCAUACACAGGAGGAGGCAGGUAGCUGGGUCCAGGGGC